rnacentral:rRNA from 1 species
GACGAACGCUGGCGGCGUGCUUAACACAUGCAAGUCGAACGGAAAGGCCCUUCGGGGUACUCGAGUGGCGAACGGGUGAGUAACACGUGGGCAAUCUGCCCUGCACACCGGGAUAAGCCUGGGAAACUGGGUCUAAUACCGGAUAGGACCACUUGGCGCAUGCCUUGUGGUGGAAAGCUUUUGCGGUGUGGGAUGGGCCCGCGGCCUAUCAGCUUGUUGGUGGGGUGACGGCCUACCAAGGCGACGACGGGUAGCCGGCCUGAGAGGGUGUCCGGCCACACUGGGACUGAGAUACGGCCCAGACUCCUACGGGAGGCAGCAGUGGGGAAUAUUGCACAAUGGGCGCAAGCCUGAUGCAGCGACGCCGCGUGGGGGAUGACGGCCUUCGGGUUGUAAACCUCUUUCACCAUCGACGAAGGUCCGGGUUUUCUCGGAUUGACGGUAGGUGGAGAAGAAGCACCGGCCAACUACGUGCCAGCAGCCGCGGUAAUACGUAGGGUGCGAGCGUUGUCCGGAAUUACUGGGCGUAAAGAGCUCGUAGGUGGUUUGUCGCGUUGUUCGUGAAAUCUCACGGCUUAACUGUGAGCGUGCGGGCGAUACGGGCAGACUAGAGUACUGCAGGGGAGACUGGAAUUCCUGGUGUAGCGGUGGAAUGCGCAGAUAUCAGGAGGAACACCGGUGGCGAAGGCGGGUCUCUGGGCAGUAACUGACGCUGAGGAGCGAAAGCGUGGGGAGCGAACAGGAUUAGAUACCCUGGUAGUCCACGCCGUAAACGGUGGGUACUAGGUGUGGGUUUCCUUCCUUGGGAUCCGUGCCGUAGCUAACGCAUUAAGUACCCCGCCUGGGGAGUACGGCCGCAAGGCUAAAACUCAAAGGAAUUGACGGGGGCCCGCACAAGCGGCGGAGCAUGUGGAUUAAUUCGAUGCAACGCGAAGAACCUUACCUGGGUUUGACAUGCACAGGACGCGUCUAGAGAUAGGCGUUCCCUUGUGGCCUGUGUGCAGGUGGUGCAUGGCUGUCGUCAGCUAGUGUCGUGAGAUGUUGGGUUAAGUCCCGCAACGAGCGCAACCCUUGUCUCAUGUUGCCAGCGGGUAAUGCCGGGGACUCGUGAGAGACUGCCGGGGUCAACUCGGAGGAAGGUGGGGAUGACGUCAAGUCAUCAUGCCCCUUAUGUCCAGGGCUUCACACAUGCUACAAUGGCCGGUACAAAGGGCUGCGAUGCCGCGAGGUUAAGCGAAUCCUUUUAAAGCCGGUCUCAGUUCGGAUCGGGGUCUGCAACUCGACCCCGUGAAGUCGGAGUCGCUAGUAAUCGCAGAUCAGCAACGCUGCGGUGAAUACGUUCCCGGGCCUUGUACACACCGCCCGUCACGUCAUGAAAGUCGGUAACACCCGAAGCCAGUGGCCUAACCCUCGGGAGGGAGCUGUCGAAGGUGGGAUCGGCGAUUGGGACGAAGUCGUAACAAGGUAACCGUA